rnacentral:rRNA from 1 species
AGCGAACGCUGGCGGCAGGCCUAACACAUGCAAGUCGAGCGCCCAGCAAUGGGAGCGGCAGACGGGAUAGUAACACGUGGGAACGUACCUUUCAGUUCGGAACAACCCAGGGAAACUUGGGCUAAUACCGAAUACGUCCGUAAGGAGAAAGAUUUAUCGCUGAAAGAUCGGCCCGCGUCUGAUUAGCUAGUUGGUGAGGUAAUGGCUCACCAAGGCGACGAUCAGUAGCUGGCUGAGAGGAUGAUCAGCAUCACUGGGACUGAGACACGGCCCAGACUCCUACGGGAGGCAGCAGUGGGGAAUAUUGCGCAAUGGGCGGAAGCCUGACGCAGCGACGCCGCGUGAGGGAUGACGGUCUUCGGAUUGUAAACCUCUUUCAGCAGGGACGAAGCGCAAGUGACGGUACCUGCAGAAGAAGCACCGGCCAACUACGUGCCAGCCGCCGCA